GUCUGUGUAGCUCAGUCGGUUAGAGCGUGGGACUCAUAAGCCCAAGGUCGAAGGUUCGAUUCCUUCCACAGACACCA
rnacentral:tRNA from 1 species